rnacentral:misc_RNA from 1 species
AAGUCGUAACAAGGUAACCGUAGGUGAACCUGCGGUUGGAUCAUUAACAAAAAUAUAAUCAAUAUAAAAAGAAAAAAGAUUUUCUUUAAGGGAAAACUCUUUUUUCUUUUUUGUUUGAGACCCAUUAUGUGAACCGUUUUUAUAUAACACUUGGGAAUAUAUUAUAUAUUCCCAGGUAACCAAAAAUUAAACCUUUUUCUAUUAUUAAAUUGCCUUAAUGAAAACCUAAAGAAUAAAUUGUAAAAAACAACUUUUGACAACGGAUCUCUAGGCUCUC